rnacentral:rRNA from 1 species
CCUACGGGAGGCUGCAGUGGGGGAUAUUGCACAAUGGGCGAAACCCUGAUGCAGCGACGCCGCGUGCGUGAAGAAGUAUUUCGGUAUGUAAAGCUCUAUCAGCCGGGAAGAAAACAGACGCUACCUGACUAAGAAGCGCCGGCUAACUACGUGCCAGCAGCCGCGGUACUACGGAGGGGGCAAGCGUUAUCCGGAUUUACUGGGUGUAAAGGGAUCGUAGGCGGCAAUACGAGUCGGAAGUGAAAUACCCGGGCUCAACGGGGGAACUGCGUUGGAAAGUGUAGGGCUAGAGUGCUGGAGAGGUAAGCGGAAUUCCUGGUGUAGCGGUGAAAUGCGUAGAUAUUAGGAGGAACACCAGUGGCGAAGGCGGCUUACUGGACAGUAACUGACGUUGAGGCGCGAAAGCGUGGGGAGCGAACAGGAUUAGAUACCCCUGUAGUC